UGUUCUCUAGAUAUUAUAUAUUUUGAUAUUUGCCAACAUAUCACACUGGCCCCCAAAAGGCUAAGAUGCUCCCAAAGAUAGCUGCAACCCUUGAAGAAUAUUUACUUUCUCCUCAUAAAGCUGCGGCCCCUUCUUUUAUAUCACCAAAUCCCCUAUGAAUAUGGGGUGACUCUUGCUCAUUGUUGAUUGUUGGUUUAAUUACCUCCACGUCACCUUUCAGAGUUCAAGACUAGUUCAUUGCUGCAACCCUCCUUUAUUUCAUAAGGUUCUCCAUAAAGUAUGGGUGUGUGGGGCAAAUGUCAAUCCCACGUCAAUCACCCUAUAUGUCACGAAUACUAUCAAAUGGUGCAACGCAAUUUUAUUAAGUUGUGAUUCUUUGUUCUAACCCAUGUCCACUCACAAGGACUGCAAAAGGAGUUUGGGACCCCACAAGUCCAGCUAAAGGUUUCUAGUGCCACCUCAUCCUUUUGAGUGAGGAGGUUUUGUUCAAAAAUCUCAAGGAAGAAGCUAAUUUAGGAGUUUCAGACUUCACCAUCCUAGCAUGCAUUGCUACCAUGCUGGCUGCCAUGCUAUCAAGGCUGGCGUAGGGAAUAAAGUGCAGGCCAACCCAUUUUUGUGAUGACCUAACAGUCCAAACGGGAUGUCUAGGAAUCGUAUUGCCGGCGACCAACUUAGAGGCUGGACUUGAGGUUCUUCAUGCUGAGCGAACACAUCUGCAGACACUUGGAGCAGCAGGGGAACUCUACAAAGGAGCUGGAUAUGAAGCUACUCAACCACGGGGGGUUUGUCAUUAUGAGGCAAUGACGGAUCCCUUAUCUUUGUUUAUAUUUUAUUUUUUACAUGCAUCAUUUUCUUGUAUAAUGCAUUAUAGGUAGUCAUUCCCACGGCUUGUGUGGGAGCAUCUCAUUUAACAUUUAUGAAUAAAGAGAAAUGCUUUUUCAAAUAUGCAAUGUUGUAUGGUUC